UUCUCUUGUCUAAUAUAAUUGACACAGGACUCUGAGAUUUUAGCUAAGCUCAGUGUAUUCUUAAUUCACAGGAGAAUUGAUGAUCUAAGCUUGGAAAUUUCAAUUUCAGAUCAAAGACCUCUUUGGCCCUGAUCCCUUUGCUUUACUCAAGAUGGCAGGUGUUGAUAAUGAAGUUCUUAUUAUUGAGAAUAAUGAUGAGGCUUCUGUUUGGACUCAAAAGCAUGAAGAAAUUUUCAUUGAACUUAUGGAAGAAGAAGUCUUAAAGGGAAAUAAGAAUACCACAACCUUUACUAAGCAAUCAUGGAAAUAUAUAAAGGAGGAGCUUUGUGGACGAGCAAAAAGAAAUUAUAGUGAUAUGCAACUAAGGAACAAAUACAAUCAAUUAAAGCAAAAGCAUAAGGAUUUUAAGUCUUUACUAAAAGAGACUGGUAUGUGAUACAAUGCAGCGACUGGAGAAGUUAGUGCGACAGAUGAAGUUUGGGAUAAACUUA